ACGCUCGACACCUACGGGAAGCAGCAGUGAGGAAUAUUGGUCAAUGGGCGCUAGCCUGAACCAGCCAAGUAGCGUGAAGGAUGAAGGCUCUAUGGGUCGUAAACUUCUUUUAUAUAAGAAUAAAGUGCAGUAUGUAUACUGUUUUGUAUGUAUUAUAUGAAUAAGGAUCGGCUAACUCCGUGCAGCAGCCGCGGUAAUCUGAGCGGGCUGGCAAGGC
rnacentral:rRNA from 1 species